rnacentral:lncRNA from 1 species
AACAAAGCUCUGCCUGACACCAGACUGUCUAAUAUAUCCUUUGAAAUCUAGGGAGAGGCUCACAUGCCUUCCUAGCUCUGCUUUCUGACAGCCUGCAGAAUUAGCACCACAUGGAUGCCACCAAGGCUUAUGGCUUAUAUCUUCUGGAGCUGCAGGUCAAGCUGUACCUGGGGCACUUGAGCCAUAGCGGGGACAACUGAGGAGCACUGUGCUGGAAUUCUGGGAGCAGAGGCCCAAGCAGCCCCGGGCGGUGAUGGUUCUACAAGCCAGAAAGUUCAAGAUUGAGAGGCUGCAUCUGGCAGCUUCUAGUGAGGGCCUUAUGUUACAUGAAAACAUGGCAGAGAAAUAGAAGAGGUACCAGGCACAUGUAAAAAGCCCAAAACAUAGGAAGCAACCUCACUUUACAACAACCUGCUCUCGCAGAAACUAACCAUUCCCAUAAGAACUAACCCAGUCUUGCAAGAAAGAUACUAAUCCAUCUUAACAACAUAAUCACCUCUUAAAGGCACCACCUCCCAACACCACCACACUGGGAAACAAACCUCAACAUGGGUUUUGGUGGGGACAACCCAUACUCAAAUCACAGAAGUUUGUAAAUCAGACAUGAAAAGUGUGGCCUUCCAAACCAAGAUAAAUACAAAACCCCACUACUAAAAAAAAAGAGACUGUUCACUUCCAGCCUGUUGUUUACUCUUUCAACGGCUAUACAAGAUGUUUAUUAUUUAGGGUAUAAUUGUUUAAAAAUUUCUCUAUAACUGUAUAUUCCUAGUUGUUACGAGAAGGCCAAAAAAAAAAAAAAAAAGGUAGGAUAAUCCUUGCCCUUUCCAGACCAUCUAAUACAGUUGGAAAGAUGAGAUAUAAAGUAACAAUAAAGUACAAACACCAAAUUUAGAGUACAGACUGAAAGCACUGACUCAAUGAAAGAAGAAAUCACAUCUAAUUGUAGUGUAAGUUGAGCAUCCUGAAUCCAAAACUCUGAAAUCUGAAAUGCUCCAAUGAGCAUUUCCUUUGAGUAUCAUGUUGGUGCUCCAAAUAUUUCAGAUUUUGGAACAUUUCCGAUUUCAGAUUUUUAGAUUUAAGAUUUGUUAGAUAUGAGUUCUAAAUUUCUCUUCAAAGAGUCAAUGUCAGUAUGUUCAAUUCUUUGCCUUCUACUUUUAAACUUAACUUCCUCAUAAAGCAACCUUUUUCGAUUACCUGCUCCACCCUGACUCAUUCCAAUUUACUGCUCUGCCAUAACCAUUUUUUCUGCCAAACCACUCACCCCAUCACUCUCUUUAAAGUAGCCAAUCAGAAUUAGUUUAGCCUGUGCGGUCUAACCCUAGCCAAUAGGGGAAUGACACAGCAGCACGGGCCAUGUGCAUCAGGAAUAAGAACUCCUUUGCCUCCCUUGUCCAGGUGUAUGCUCACCAUUGCUCCAUCUGUAAGGGCACACCCUUCUAUAGUAGUACAUUUCCUUGCUGAGAAUUAAAAACAAAAUGUUACAUUCGAGUGCUAUUUCUUUUGCGGCACUGAAACUUUAUUUAUAACAUAUUGUAAAUAUUCCAAAAUCCAAAACACUCCUCGUCCUAAGCAUUUCAGACAAGAGAUGCUCAAUCCAUAAUAUUUAUGGCUAUUAAAAAAGAGGGAAGAACUUCAGUCUUUAAGGAUGCAUGUGGUUGGGCAUACCUGAUGGAAGAAAAGACACAAUAUUUUUAAGGGAGCUGAUAAAAUAUAGUAUAAAACAAACUUUCUCAGGGGUUCCUCAUCUGAACCACAGAUCACUGCAAAUGAUGUGAUUAUAUUCUCAAUUCUCCCAAGGAUGGUACAUAACUAGUACCAUUCGAGAAGCACAGGACAGAAAUAGGAGCUAAUUUAUUACAUUCAAGGGAUGGCUUAGAGCCCUAGUUCUCAAAUUAACAUGACUCAGAAUUACUUGGAGAGCUUGGCUUGUUCAAACAGACUGCUAGGCCCCAGCCUCGAGACUGAUUCUCUAGGCAAACCCAAGAACAUUUUAGGGCACUAAGACUUAAUCCUCUGGUGGAGUUCUGGUUAAGAAAGGCUGAUAUAAAGUAUAUCUUUAUUUGAAAGUUAUUUAUGUUCUUUAAAUACUGAAAACAGAGACCAGUAUGAAGAAUCAGCAGCAUCUUUACUUCAUUUAUUCAAGACAACAUUAUCUUGAUCUGUUUCACUGCAGUCUUUUCUUUUGAAAUAAAUAUUCUUGGUUGUUACAUAUGAGGAAUAUAUACAAACAUUAUACCAACCUAUACAAGCCCCAGAACUGAAGAACAUGGCCAGUGCCUUCAGAAAUGAUGUGCUAGAGCAAUAUAAUUCUCAGGCUUCUGUAAAAAAAAAAUGGAAGUUCUGCCCACUUAUAGCACCAAAGGGCAGCUUACCAAUCCUUUCAUAUCAGAAGGAGUCUUGAGUUAUAACUUUAAGUGAUCUCUUGGUCAACUAGACCAAAUAGUUACUGAAAUAUUCUCAGUAAUAUGUCAGCAAUAUAUUUACCAUUUCUGAUAAUAUUUUUAUUUUAUAUUUAUACUAAAUAACGACUUAGUUGGGGAGAAAACUCUUGGAUCCUAACUACUUCACAACUUCUCAACCCAUUGACUUCUGUCACAUUGUGUAACAGAGAAAUCUGAAGAAAUCUGUAUAUAACGUAUAUCACUAAUCACCCCAUUUACCUUGAUUCCUUGGCCUGACUACUCACAGUUAGCUUUUUUUUCUUAAGGCUUAUAAUUUUAAAAAAUUUACCUGAGCUUUUAUCUAGGUAUGGGUCUCUUUUCACUUAUCUGAAAUUUCGUGUUUCCUUUAAUUAUACAUAUCUGAGUUUGGGAGUAUUUGUUUUUACUUAAAGUCUUAUUUCAUUAUAUCUGAUCAUCAUUUCUGUUCCAAGUAUCUGAUUUACUUUCAGUGGAGUACUUAUCACUCCUUUGUUGGGUUCCCAGUAACUUUCUUUCAUAGUCAUUACCUCAAAACAUUCAUUUUCAUCACUUAUAUAUUUUUUUGAAUGCUUUGUGAGAGUUUCUCAAGUUUGUUCUCCACAGAUACUUCACUAUCUGUAAUAUUAAAUUCAUCUCUUUCUAAUCUACUGCCAUUAAAAUAAAAUGUCAGCUUUGCUACUGUGUAUUAGUUCCCAGUCAUCCUCCCUGUUUCCUGUUUCCCUUUUUCAACUUGUAGCCCUUUCAUCUGAGUUUGCUCUAUCCUUAUGGGAUUUCUUUCCUGUUUUAAUGGGGUCACAUUUAUUUUUACAUGCUGUUGGGUAUGCCCAUUGUUUUUGUCUUCAUUUUUUCCUGGUUUCUUUCACAUUCACAGGGCAGCUCUUCCUUCAAUGCUUCAGAUUCUUUCCCUUCCUCUUACUCUGCAGUACUUUUUUCAGAGAGCUUUCCUUUUCCCCAGGUUAAAGCACAACCAACCCACGCUCAGUUUCUGCCAAGCAGAGGUACAGAUCACCCUUGCUAGUAGAAUCCCUUCCCAAAAUGAUGUGCAAGAUCUAAGCAAUUCCCGGUCCUUAUUUAGGGUGGUUCUACUAGAACAAAGGGGGAACUUCCUGUAUUCCAAAUAGUUAAGUUCCUUAAAACAUUGAACAGGUGGAAUUUCAAAAAUUCCACCUUUUGGCCUCAUACUACCUACCUACCUAGGCUCUACCUACCUGGGCCCUACCUACCUAUGUCCUACCUAUUGUCACGGCUCAGGAUAUGCUACCCCAAACUACGGCCACUUGGAGGCCACUGUGACCUCCCCCCGCCUUUCUGUGGGACAGCUGGCCGUAAAGAAGUUCUCUAACCUACCUCUUCUGAAAGUAUGUCUUUUUGUUUUGUUUUGUUUUUUGAGACAGAGUCUCACUCUGUCACCCAGGCUGGAGUGCAGUGGCAUGAUCUCAGCUCACUAUAACCUCCCGGGUUCAAGCAAUUCUCGUGCCUCAGCCUCCCCAGUCACUGAGAUUACUGGUGCACACCAUCACACCCAACUGAUUUUUGUAGUUUUAGUAGAGAUGGGGUUUCGCCAUGUUGCCCAAGCUGGUCUCGAACUCCUAGCCUCAAGCGAUUUACCCACCUCAGCCUCCCAAAGUGCUAGGAUUACAGGCAUCAGCCACGACACCCGGACUUGAAAGUCAUUAAACCCUCAUGUGACAAGGGCCCCAUCCUAUACCUGGAGGAAAGGAAUGUUACACACAGAGGCCAAGAAGAAUCUCAACAAACAAGCCUACCUAAGUUCCCCCAUUUAUUACUACUGAAUAAUACCGUUUUUGUCCAAUCAUACUUCUAUAUGACUGUCCAUUGUUCACUGAACUUACACACAAAAACAGUUUUUCCUGGAUCUGUGGGUCUUUGGGUCUUCUUUUCUGAAGGCUCCCAUGUCAUGUAAAACUUUGAUUAAACAAAUUUGUUAUGCUUCUCUAUUGUCAAUCUGUCUUUUGUUAUAUGGAUACUGGCCAUGACCCCUGCAAUCGGUGAGGAAAAGACAUUACUUUUUCUCUCCUCCACUACCUUUCUAGGCUCAGUUCAAUUCACCAUCUUCUCCAUGCAGCCCUUUCCUGCCAUGAAGACCAAUUCUGACCCCUCACUUCUUCAAAGGCUAAUCUUUG